rnacentral:rRNA from 1 species
CAGAGGUGCCGAGCGUUAGGCGGAAUCACUGGGCUUAAAGCGUGUGUAGGCGGAGUUCUAAGUACCUUGUGAAAUCCCACGGCUUAACCGUGGAACUGCUUGGUAUACUGGUUCUCUUGGGCCACUUAGGGGCUACCGGAACAAACGGUGGAGCGGUGAAAUGCGUAGAUAUCGUUUGGAACGCCAAUGGUGAAAACAGGUAGCUGGGAGUGUGCCGACGCUGAGACACGAAAGCCAGGGGAGCGAACGGGAUUAGAUACCCCGGUAGUCCUGGCUGUAAACGAUGUCAACUAGAUCGUGGCGGCUCUGACGCUGCCACGGUCGAAGCAAAAGUGCUAAGUCGACCGCCUGGGAAGUACGGUCGCAAGGCUA